CAGUCGCCGCGGGAAUACGUAGGUGGCAAGCGUUGUCCGGAAUUAUUGGGCGUAAAGCGAGCGCAGGCGGUUAGAUAAGUCUGAAGUUAAAGGCUGUGGCUUAACCAUAGUACGCUUUGGAAACUGUUUAACUUGAGUGCAAGAGGGGAGAGUGGAAUUCCAUGUGUAGCGGUGAAAUGCGUAGAUAUAUGGAGGAACACCGGUGGCGAAAGCGGCUCUCUGGCUUGUAACUGACGCUGAGGCUCGAAAGCGUGGGGAGCAAACAGAAUUAGAUACCCGAGUAGUCCCUGUCUCUUAUACC
rnacentral:rRNA from 1 species